GACGUAGGGCGCGAGCGUUGUCCGGAUUUAUUGGGCGUAAAGAGCUCGUAGGCGGCUUGUCGCGUCGACUGUGAAAACCCGUGGCUCAACCAUGUGGUCUGCAGUCGAUACGGGCAGGCUAGAAUUCGGUAGGGGAGACUGGAAUUCCUGGUGUAGCGGUGAAAUGCGCAGAUAUCAGGAGGAACACCGGUGGCGAAGGCGGGUCUCUGGGCCGAUACUGACACUGAGGAGCGAAAGCCAGGGGAGCAAACGGG
rnacentral:rRNA from 1 species